UGUGUUGCAAAAAAUGGUUGUGAUGUCAUAGAAAAGAAAGAAAAGAGUUUGAAAGGAGAAGCAGGACUAUUAUGUGGGACGUCCUGCAAGGUAUUUUGUCUGCCUUUGAUGUUCCAUCGCAAUGGUGAAACUUCCCCCUCUUGCCCAUAGCUAGGCGGGCGACAGUUCUACUCUUUAUAAAAAUCCCAUGAAAGUGGUUAAACUAAUGCCUCAGAUGUAAUCAAUCUGUUCAUAAUGUAAGAUGUGGUCGGU
rnacentral:lncRNA from 1 species